GAAGCUGGCUGGACAAUCGCUGUUGAGCUUUAUUUCGAUAAGGUUUGAGGGAGGAAAGUCCGGACUUCAAAGGGCAGGGUGCCAGGUAACACCUGGAAGGUGAAAACCUAUGGAAAGUGCCACAGAAAAUAUACCGCUUGACUGUUCUUUGAGUAGUUGAGUAAGGGUGAAAUGGUGCGGUAAGAGCGCACCGCGCUGGUGGUAACAUCAGUGGCAGGGUAAACCCCACCUGAAGCAAGACCAAAUAGGGAUCCUGAGGCGUGGCCCACGCUGGAUCCGGGUAGGUCGCAUGAGGCUUAUGGUGACAUAAGUCCUAGAUGAAUGAUUGUCCUCGACAGAAUCCGGCUUAUAGGCCAGCUUCAACU
rnacentral:RNase_P_RNA from 1 species